rnacentral:rRNA from 1 species
UAUCAGUCAUGCAUAGCAUAUCAAUAAGCGGAGGAAAAGAAACUAACAAGGAUUCCCUUAGUAACGGCGAGUGAAGCGGGAAGAGCUCAAAUUUGAAAUCUUCAAGGUUUUACCUUGACGAAUUGUAGUUUAAGGAAGUGUUUUCUGUUGAAGUUUUGGUAAAAGUUCUUUGGAAUAGGACAUCAUAGAGGGUGAGAAUCCCGUAUUUGACCAUUACUUUCAGCUUUGUGAUACACUUUCAAAGAGUACGGAUUGUUUGGGAAUGCAGUCCAAAAUGGGUGGUAAAUUUCAUCUAAAGCUAAAUAUUGGCGAGAGACCGAUAGCGAACAAGUACCGUGAGGGAAAGAUGAAAAGAACUUUGAAAAGAGAGUUAAACAGUACGUGAAAUUGUCAAAAGGGAAGCGUUUGACACCAGUGUUGUUUUCUCGAAAAAUCAAUUAAAAAGAGUUGGAUUUUGUGUUGUAUUGACUUUAUCAGCUUUCUUCACUCUUUUCCAGCUUUUUUUAAUGCACUUUUCGUUUAACAAGUCAACAUCAGUUUCUUUUGUUGUAAAAAGGUCAUUGGAAGGUGGCUUUCUCUUCGGAGAAAGUGUUUAUAGCCUUUGACUCAUGCAAUCGGAGGGACUGAGGUCUGCAGCGUAGAUCCUUCGGGGUUAGAUACAUUUGUGCUAAGUUAUAGCUUUUCAUAGACAACUUGUUGACUAUGUUUAGUCUUGUAGCUUACUCGCUUAUGCUAUUUUACCUACGCUUAGGAUGUUGAACUCUAUCACACACAG